rnacentral:rRNA from 1 species
AAUUGAACGCUGGCGGCAUGCCUAACACAUGCAAGUCGAGCGGCAGCACAGCCCCGCAAGGGGUGGGUGGCGAGCGGCGGACGGGUGAGGAAUGCAUCGGAAUCUGCCCUGUCGUGGGGGAUAACGUAGGGAAACUUACGCUAAUACCGCAUACGACCGAGAGGUGAAAGCGGGGGACCCGAGAGGGCCUCGCGCGGCAGGAUGAGCCGAUGCCCGAUUAGCUGGUUGGUGGGGUAACGGCCCACCAAGGCGACGAUCGGUAGCUGGUCUGAGAGGAUGAUCAGCCACACUGGGACUGAGACACGGCCCAGACUCCUACGGGAGGCAGCAGUGGGGAAUAUUGGACAAUGGGGGCAACCCUGAUCCAGCAAUGCCGCGUGUGUGAAGAAGGCCUUCGGGUUGUAAAGCACUUUUAUCGGGAGCGAAACGCGCCGGGCGAAUACCUCGGCGAACUGACGGUACCUGAUGAAUAAGCACCGGCUAACUUCGUGCCAGCAGCCGCGGUAAUACGAAGGGUGCAAGCGUUAAUCGGAAUUACUGGGCGUAAAGCGUGCGUAGGCGGUACGUUAAGUCUGCCGUGAAAGCCCUGGGCUCAACCUGGGAACGGCGGUGGAUACUGGCGUGCUGGAGUGCGGUAGAGGAGGGUGGAAUUCCCGGUGUAGCGGUGAAAUGCGUAGAGAUCGGGAGGAACAUCAGUGGCGAAGGCGGCCCUCUGGACCAGCAC